UCCACCGUCGGCUGCCCAUAAGCUGCGCCACCGGCCACCCCGCCUACCCCAGCGCAAGCCCUUCCCCUGUCCUAUUCCUCCGCCUGGACCCCGGCGACCGACGGAUCUGAGCCCCCCUGCCUUCCCGCGCCUUCUCCAUGGCCUCCUCCCCCGCCAGUGGCUAACUCAUCAAGCUCGACCUCGCUGGAAUCCCGCGGCAAACCACGACCCCGAGGGGACCCCACCCACUUCCAGUGGCUCAGUCCACCAUGCCUCCACCACGAAACGGCCGCCGGCGACGCCCAAGAUCUUGGAUCCAGGGCCACCCCGACGAGGCGCGCGGCCUCAUCUGCCCACUACCAUCCUUCUCCGUUCUUUUUCUGCAGGGAGCACCACCUCAGCCCCCGUGCAGUCCGGUGGGCGCGUGCGUGCAACGCGCUGUGUGCGGCGCCGGAUCAGCACUGCCCCAUGCAGUGCGGGCGGUGAGCACGUGCAGUCCGGUGGGCGCGUGCGUGCAGCGCGCUGAGUGCAGGCGCCGGAUCAGCACCGGUACAUGCUCUCUCUGCCGCGCGAGAGAGCCUGGUCCUAGUGGUGCAGUCCGGUGUCUGCGGAACAUGCAGCUCGCUAGCUCAUUGCACGCUGUUCCGGCGGCGCGGGAAAGCAGUACAAGGCCACGCCCGUAUCCGAGUGGUGCAGCUCGGUGCUGUUGUCCGUGCAGUUUGCUGUUGUAUUCGACAACAAUGGCAACAGAAGCUUGGUCCCCGCUAGACUAGGAACAUAUGGAACCGAUUGUGUCUUGCUGAUGGAAAAGAGGUAAUAAUACAAGGAGUUCUUCAGACUGGGUAGUGUUGUCACCUGAGAAGGGGAUGGGAGUUCAGACUGAACAUGAACACGAUAGGUAGUUGCUCAGUUUAAGAUAUUGGAUUCAGUUACAGCCACAUCAAUGAUUUAAAUAAAAUAUCACAAAAGAUGUGGAACCCAGGCCUAUAUAAAGGUUACAUGCAUGCAUUGCUAGGCUGCUAGCACCUUGGACUUGUGGAGCCAUGGGCAGGGCAUGAGAAGCAUUGGCCAACUUGUUCGUGGCUAAACUGUACUCUUUUGUUUUGUUUAGACUAAGCACACUCUUCUUAGAUAAUCUGUAUUAUCAGCCCCACAUCAAGUGCACACACUCUUUUGUUUUCUAUUACUGUUAUUUUGUUUGUGCAAUUCUUGGAAGGGAAGGCAUCAAACAGGGGCGUUCGACGGCGAGCUGCUCCCGGCCGACUGCAGGGACAAGGGUCGUGUGCCCGUGCGGGUGCAGUUUGCUCCACUUCUCGAUGGGGUUCGCUUGCCUAGGUGCUGUAGUGUGCCUGGAGGUUUUCUUCUCCUCGGGUGCGUGAAGGUUUGGCUGUCGUGCGGGCAUGGGCAUGCAGUUCACCGGGGACCUACAGAAGAAAGAAAAAAUGGUUAUGCAUUAUGCAGUGCAGUUAAUUGCUGGGGUACUCAAGUGCCAUUUUCUAGUUGAUGAGUGCAUUAUGCAGUGCAAUUAACAUCUCAAAGAAGCUCGCUUCCUAUUAUAUGCAGUUAACUUGCUCAAUCUCUGCGUAUGUGUGCAAAAAAUAAUAAGUAGAGGUUCGUUUCA